UCCUCGAUAGCUCAGUGGUAGAGCAUUCGGCUGUUAACCGAAGGGGUCGUUGGUUCGAGCCCAACUCGGGGAG
rnacentral:tRNA from 1 species